AUGUCAAAAAAAAAAAAGACAAAAAAAAAAAAAAAAAAAAAAAAUUUUUUUUUUUUUUUUUUUUUUUUGUCUUUUUUUUUUUU
rnacentral:ribozyme from 1 species